rnacentral:rRNA from 1 species
UACGGAAGGGGCAAGCGUUGUUCGGAAUCAUUGGGCGUAAAGGGCGCGUAGGUGGUUCUGUAUGUCUACCGUGAAAGCGUACGGCUCAACUGUAUUUUGUCGGUAGAAACUGCAGGACUUGAGGCUGGGAGGGGCUGGUGGAAUUCCCUGUGUAGCGGUGAAAUGCGUAGAGAUGGGGGAGAACACUCGUGGCGAAGGCGGCCAGCUAGACCAGUUCU